rnacentral:rRNA from 1 species
GAUGAACGCUGGCGGCGUGCCUAAUACAUGCAAGUCGAGCGAACAGAUGAGGAGCUUGCUCCUCUGACGUUAGCGGCGGACGGGUGAGUAACACGUGGAUAACCUACCUUUAAGACUGGGAUAACUUCGGGAAACCGGAGCUAAUACCGGAUAAUAUAUUGAACCGCAUGGUUCAAUAGUGAAAGACGGUUUUGCUGUCACUUAUAGAUGGAUCCGCGCCGCAUUAGCUAGUUGGUAAGGUAACGGCUUACCAAGGCAACGAUGCGUAGCCGACCUGAGAGGGUGAUCGGCCACACUGGAACUGAGACACGGUCCGGACUCCUACGGGAGGCAGCAGUAGGGAAUCUUCCGCAAUGGGCGAAAGCCUGACGGAGCAACGCCGCGUGAGUGAUGAAGGUCUUCGGAUCGUAAAACUCUGUUAUUAGGGAAGAACAAAUGUGUAAGUAACUAUGCACGUCUUGACGGUACCUAAUCAGAAAGCCACGGCUAACUACGUG